rfam:Dipodomys ordii contig_10914, whole genome shotgun sequence.
GGUGGCUCAGUGGUAGAGCACUCGCCUUGCGUGCAUGAGACCCUGGGUUCAAUUCCUCAGCACCA